AAGUUCCUGGGCUAGGGAUCGAACCCGCGCCACAACCAUGGCAAUGCCAGAUUCUCGAGCUGCUGCACAGGGAUGUUUGCGGGGCAAGCCAGACCCUCGCAGGAGCCCAGGACCUGGGGCCCUGGUGGCCAGGCUCUUCCCCAGGAACUGACGAACUCAUGGGCUCUGCUCCGUUCAGCCUGGGGCAGCAGCCUUGGCAUCUCCACUUCCCAGAGCUGGUGCCCCCAGGGUCUCGCAGUGUUGGUGUCAGGUGCACUAGGCAUCUGGCCUGGGGUGGCCAUGAGGCUGGCUUGUAUCGUGUCACCUGCCCAAUGCCCUGUGACACCAUCAGCUGAGGGUGGAGAUGGCCGCCACCGUGCCCACCUUUAGAGCCCUGGGGGCACCUGUGCCCACACCCCUGCGCUGGAGCUGGCAGUGGGCACGGGGAGACUGAGGAGCAGGGAGGUGGGCCAGAGCCCAGAUGCCAGAGCUCAGAUGGGCGAGUGACUGAGGUGGGAGGUGGCAGAGGGCACAGAGACCCAAGGCCCUCAGCCACCAGUGCACGGUCUGUGGUGCCAGGGACUUCACUUCCAAAGCAGAAAGUUCCUACAAAUUUCCAGACGGCAACCCCAGAGUGUUAACCUGCAAGGGCGGGCCCUUGUGUGCCACACAGGCGUCUUCACCCUGGAGGCCUCUCGGCAGCAGGGGGCUGCGGAAGAGCCAGGCUCAAGGCAGGAAGCCCACCAGGGAGGAACUGGAGCUGCUGGGGGCUGAGUGGUGAGAACACGCUAAGGCAGCACAGCAGGACCGGAGAGCAGGUCCAGGCGGGCUCGGCAGGUGCUUGGAGGUGGGUGAACUGGGGGGAUGCAUGGUGAUGUCCAGAUGGCACGUGGAAAUGCAUGCACACAACUUUUACCAUUGAAUCCAUAAAAUAGUGCUGUGGAAUCUGUCUACUGCUGUGACUCCCAUGUUAUGGUGGGGAAACAGCUCGGAGAAAGAAGGUGAUUUAUUCAAGGUUCUGUAGUCAGAAGGCCGGGCCUCCGCCCAGGUGUGUCAUGUCAGGUGCAGCUCUAUCCACUGUGACCUUGGGCCCUUCUGCUCUCAGGGGGGCCCUGGUCUGCCUGGUUCGUUCAUUCAUUGCUUAAUUGAGCAAAUACUUAGGAAAUGGCCUCCGUGGGCAGGUGCCCUCCAGGGGCUGGAGACACGGUGGGUGGUACACAGGCCGGCAAGGCCCCUGGCCUCCUGGCGGGCGCGGUCCAGUGCGGAUGUCAGCAGAGAGUCCCGUCGGGCUUGGACGGCCAGGGGAAGCCGUUAUUGAUGCCUCUCUUCUGUUUCUGGUCCGGGUCUCUCAUGAAUUAGGGUUUGGGUGGCAGCAGCAGAGCCCUCGCCACAACAGGGAGGGAGAUAGAGCGUCUUUCAAGUGCCGCCAUCCAGAAGCUCUGCCUCGUUAGAGGGAGCAGACCCCAGGGCCAGCAUCCCCCUUGCACUGGCAGAGGGCUGUCCCUUUCGACCGAUAGCUAAUUAUGCUGUUUUGUUCUCUCAUGAAACACGUGAUCCGUUUCAAAGACCAGUCUCCAUGUCGGGCAAGGAGCCCGGCUCAUCUGCUGAGGGGCACACUGCAUGGUGCUACGUGGCUGCUGAGCCAACAGCAGAGGUUCCGAACACGGUUCAGAUGACUCGACCGUGCGGGUCAGGAAGCCGUGUAACUGGCCGGUGACUCGGCCCCUCCCUGCGCUCUGCACCGAGCACCAGGCAGGGGGGCGUGUGGCAAACGGCGUGGGGAUGACACGGUGCCCCCCUGGGAGCUCCACGGGCUGCUGGACGGCAAGGCGCUGGCACCUGAGCGUUGGGGGUGGGUUCGACAGGAAGUUGGAGACGGAAAUCCUUUGAGGGCAGUGCUUUAUCUGAUCGGAAACAGUAUUUUUUUUUUUUUUUUCCUUUUUAGGACUGCACCUGCGACAUAUGGAAGUUCCUGGGCUAGGGGUUGAAUCGGAGCUGCAGCUGCCAGGCCACAGCCACAGCCAUGCCAGAUCCGAGCUACACACAGCUCACAGCAGCACUGGAUCCUUAACCCACUGAGCGAGGCUAGGGAUUGAACCCGUGUUCUCACGGCUACUCGUCGGGUUCCUUCCAACUGAGCCACAGCGGGAACUCUGGAAAUGUACUACAAAGACUAAUCCCUGAGGGGGAGUCACGGAGAACCAAAAUCAGAUUCUUGCUGAGAACUUCCUGUGCCUGAUGAUGUUUCCAGGGCUUGUGAGAGGCUUCGGUGACACGUAACAGGAAAACCUG
ensembl:lncRNA